AACGAACGCUGGCGGCAUGCCUAACACAUGCAAGUCGAACGAGACCUUCGGGUCUAGUGGCGCACGGGUGCGUAACGCGUGGGAAUCUGCCCUUGGGUUCGGAAUAACAGUUGGAAACGACUGCUAAUACCGGAUGAUGACGUAAGUCCAAGGAUUUAUCGCCCAGGGAUGAGCCCGCGUAGGUUUAGCUAGUUGGUGGGGUAAAGGCCUACCAAGGCGACGAUCCUUAGCUGGUCUGAGAGGAUGAUCAGCCACACUGGGACUGAGACACGGCCCAGACUCCUACGGGAGGCAGCAGUGGGGAAUAUUGGACAAUGGGCGAAAGCCUGAUCCAGCAAUGCCGCGUGAGUGAUGAAGGCCUUAGGGUUGUAAAGCUCUUUUACCCGGGAUGAUAAUGACAGUACCGGGAGAAUAAGCCCCGGCUAACUCCGUG
rnacentral:rRNA from 1 species